rnacentral:tRNA from 1 species
GGGACUGUGGCUUAGUGGUAGAGUGCUUGCCUAGCAUGCAGGAAGCACUGGGUUCAAUUCCUCAGUACCA